rnacentral:rRNA from 1 species
CCUGCACGAAUGGCGUAAUGAUGGCCAGGCUGUCUCCACCCGAGACUCAGUGAAAUUGAACUCGCUGUGAAGAUGCAGUGUACCCGCGGCAAGACGGAAAGACCCCGUGAACCUUUACUAUAGCUUGACACUGAACAUUGAGCCUUGAUGUGUAGGAUAGGUGGGAGGCUUUGAAGUGUGGACGCCAGUCUGCAUGGAGCCGACCUUGAAAUACCACCCUUUAAUGUUUGAUGUUCUAACGUGGACCCGUAAUCCGGGUUGCGGACAGUGUCUGGUGGGUAGUUUGACUGGGGCGGUCUCCUCCUAAAGAGUAACGGAGGAGCACGAAGGUUGGCUAAUCCUGGUCGGACAUCAGGAGGUUAGUGCAAUGGCAUAAGCCAGCUUGACUGCGAGCGUGACGGCGCGAGCAGGUGCGAAAGCAGGUCAUAGUGAUCCGGUGGUUCUGAAUGGAAGGGCCAUCGCUCAACGGAUAAAAGGUACUCCGGGGAUAACAGGCUGAUACCGCCCAAGAGUUCAUAUCGACGGCGGUGUUUGGCACCUCGAUGUCGGCUCAUCACAUCCUGGGGCUGAAGUAGGUCCCAAGGGUAUGGCUGUUCGCCAUUUAAAGUGGUACGCGAGCUGGGUUUAGAACGUCGUGAGACAGUUCGGUCCCUAUCUGCCGUGGGCGCUGGAGAACUGAGGGGGGCUGCUCCUAGUACGAGAGGACCGGAGUGGACGCAUCACUGGUGUUCGGGUUGUCAUGCCAAUGGCACUGCCCGGUAGCUAAAUGCGGAAGAGAUAAGUGCUGAAAGCAUCUAAGCACGAAACUUGCCCCGAGAUGAGUUCUCCCUGACUCCUUGAGAGUCCUGAAGGAACGUUGAAGACGACGACGUUGAUAGGCCGGGUGUGUAAGCGCAGCGAUGCGUUGAGCUAACCGGUACUAAUGAACCGUGAGG